GCGGAAGUGGCUCAGUGGACUACUACGCCGGUCUUGAAAACCGGCGGCGAUUCGCCUCGGGAGUUCGAAUCUCCCCUUCCGCG
rnacentral:tRNA from 1 species